rnacentral:rRNA from 1 species
GACGAACGCUGGCGGCGUGCUUAACACAUGCAAGUCGAACGGAAAGGCCCUGCUUUUGUGGGGUGCUCGAGUGGCGAACGGGUGAGUAACACGUGAGUAACCUGCCCUUGACUUUGGGAUAACUUCAGGAAACUGGGGCUAAUACCGGAUAGGAGCUCCUGCUGAAUGGUGGGGGUUGGAAAGUUUCGGCGGUUGGGGAUGGACUCGCGGCUUAUCAGCUUGUUGGUGGGGUAGUGGCUUACCAAGGCUUUGACGGGUAGCCGGCCUGAGAGGGUGACCGGCCACAUUGGGACUGAGAUACGGCGCAGACUCCUACGGUAGGCAGCAGUGGAGAGUAUUGCACAAUGGGCGGAAGCCUGAUGCAGCAACGCCGCGUGCGGGAUGACGGCCUUCGGGUUGUAAACCGCUUUCGCCUGUGACGAAGCGUGAGUGACGGUAAUGGGUAAAGAAGCACCGGCUAACUACGUG